UUGUGUCUGCGUUUCAGAGGGAUGAGAACCCGAGAAGAGGGUUUGAGCCGAGCGCAGCGAGACAACGUGGGAGCUUGCGACCACGGCCCCGAAGGGGUGAAAUAAUCUCUCUCUGACCGCUA
rnacentral:sRNA from 1 species